rnacentral:rRNA from 1 species
UACGAAGGGGGCUAGCGUUGCUCGGAAUCACUGGGCGUAAAGCGCACGUAGGCGGAUUUCUAAGUCAGGGGUGAAACCCUGGAGCUCAACUCCAGAACUGCCUUUGAUACUGGGAAUCUUCGAGUCCGGGAGAGGUGAGUGGAACUGCGAGUGUAGAGGUGAAAUUCGUAGAUAUUCGCAAGAACACCAGUGGCGAAGGCGGCUCACUGGCCCGGUACUGACGCUGAGGUGCGAAAGCGUGGGGAGCAAACAGG